GGGUUGUGAGGUUAAGCGACUAAGCGUACACGGUGGAUGCCCUGGCAGUCAGAGGCGAUGAAGGGCGUGCUAAUCUGCGAUAAGCGCCGGUAAGGUGAUAUGAACCGUUAUAACCGGCGAUACCCGAAUGGGGAAACCCAGUGUGAUUCGUCACACUAUCAUUAACUGAAUCCAUAGGUUAAUGAGGCGAACCGGGGGAACUGAAACAUCUAAGUACCCCGAGGAAAAGAAAUCAACCGAGAUUCCCUCAGUAGCGGCGAGCGAACGGGGAGGAGCCCAGAGCCUGAAUCAGCAUGUGUGUUAGUGGAAGCGUCUGGAAAGGCGCGCGAUACAGGGUGACAGCCCCGUACACAAAAGCGCAUAUGCUGUGAGCUCGAUGAGUAGGGCGGGACACGUGGUAUCCUGUCUGAAUAUGGGGGGACCAUCCUCCAAGGCUAAAUACUCCUGACUGACCGAUAGUGAACCAGUACCGUGAGGGAAAGGCGAAAAGAACCCCGGCGAGGGGAGUGAAAAAGAACCUGAAACCGUGUACGUACAAGCAGUGGGAGCACAGGUUUACCUGUGUGACUGCGUACCUUUUGUAUAAUGGGUCAGCGACUUAUAUUCUGUAGCAAGGUUAACCGAAUAGGGGAGCCGGAGGGAAACCGAGUCUUAAC
rnacentral:rRNA from 1 species